UACGUAGGUGGCAAGCGUUGUCCGGAUUUACUGGGCGUAAAGAGCGCGCAGGCGGUCGAGUAAGUCGAAAUGUGAAAGCCCCCCGGCUUAACUGGGGAGGGUCAUUCGAUACUGUUCGACUCGAAGGCAGGAGAGGGUAGUGGAAUUCCCGGUGUAGUGGUGAAAUGCGCAGAUAUCAGGAGGAACACCGGUGGCGAAGGCGGGUCUCUGGGCCGUAACUGACGCUGAGGAGCGAAAAGCAUGGGGGAGCGAACAGG
rnacentral:rRNA from 1 species